GUGGCAGAAGACAUGGGACUCUGAGCACACGGGAUGGCAUUUAUAUGCCCUCCAAAAAAAGGUUGGUGGACCAAGAUUCAAAGGUCAGUUAGUAGGGCUCUUUUUAGUUCCUCAGAAGCAUUGAGUUAGGUGGGAGGAUUUAGAAAUGUGGAGCUUAUGUUGUAAACAGUGAUGACCUCACACUCCAGCACAGUAGGUGGCGUCAUACACCUUUUAACAUUUGGUUGCAGACUGCCAUUAUAUCAUAGAAGAAGAAGAAGAAGAAGAAGAAGAAGAAGAAUCAUCAUCAUCAUCAUCGUCAUCAGAGGAACGUGAAGGAACCUCCCUCCAACCGUGCUUGCACCAAUCCAAUGCUUCCUACAGUGCCCGAGGGGGACUGAACAAGUGCACACUUCGGGAGAGAUGAAACGGUGGGAGCUCAUUGGAAAUAUUUAUUUGUAUAAAGUGACAGUUAUAGAUAGCCGCUGUAGAUUUUUCUAUAGAGAAAACUGGGACCACUUGAUUCUCAGGAGCAUCAGUAAAAAUGAUACAAAUGAGGGUGUCAGUGAGGGUCCCAGUGAGUAUGUGGAGGGGUUAACAUGGCACCAGGUGCAUCACCAGGCUGUGCUGAAUAACAGGUGAGUGAGUACGUGUGGGUACUGACUGUACACACCUGCUGAACCUGCACCGUACUGCACUGUACUCUUUAUACUAUUAAUAACUUUUCAUUACUUCAUCAACCAACCAUAGCCUGGUCCCAGAUCUGUUUGUGCAAUCGUGCCACUCCUUUUCAUCCCAAACAUGACAAGAAGUGGCAUGAUGGCACAAACAGACUGGUACCCCAAGCAAGUCUUAGCCUUCAACAUUUUAUUAUUAUCUCCGUGCCAGUCUGUUUCUGCAAAAAGUAAACCUGCUCCCCGUGUUUUUCAGAUUACAGAGUAAGCAAGCCAAGCUUAUGGAACCAGUGUAAGUGGCAGCACAUGCAGACAGCAUUACAAUAGAGCUGUAUUCUAUUGUUUGAAUUCUAGAUUAUAUUAUAAACCGAGUGGUUCGAGCCCUGAAUGCUAAUUGGCUGAAAGCCACUGGUAUAACAAUUGAAUUGAAUUUUUACUGUUCUAAAUACGUUGGUAAUCAGUUUAUAAAAGCAAUAAGGCUCCUCGUGGUUUGUGAUGUAUGGUAAAUAUACCACGACUAAGGGCUGUUUCCAGGCACUACGCGUUGCAUCGCGCUAAAGAACAGCCCUUAGCCGUGGUAUAUUGGCCAUAUACCACACCCCCUAGUGCCUUAUUGCUUAAUUACUGUAUACCAUUAUGGUAAAUACUAUGUAGUACAUACUUGCUUUAUAACGUACUUCAUAAUGUCUUUUCAUGAAGUUCUACCACUAUUGGAUGUUUAUCUUGAUGAUUAUGUUAAGUGACUUUGGGUGUUUCAAAUCAAAUUUUAUUGGUCACAUACUGUGUUUAGCAGAUGUUAUUGCGGGUGUAGGGAAAUGCUUGUGCUUCUAGUUCCGACAGUGCAGCAAUAUUUAACAAGUAUUAUCUAACAAUUUCACAACAUAUACGCAAUACACACAAAUCUAAGUAAAGGAAUUAAGAAUACAUAAACAUAUGGACGAGCAAUGUCAGAGCAGCAUAGAUACAGUAGAAUAGUAUAGAAUACAGUAUAUACAUAUGAGAUGAGUAAUGCAAGAUAUGUAAACAUUAUUAAAGUGACAUUAUUAAAGUGACUAGGGUUCCAUUUAUUAAAGUGGCCAAUGAUUUAUUCUAAUUAAAAACAAAUUCUGAAGGCAAACACCAUGCUCUACCAACUGAGCCACACGGGACCAUCCUGGUCUUAUCCAUUUACAUGGAUAAGACCAGGAUUACUCAACUAUGGACUGGAAUACUCCACUCUGCCUCUAAGAUGUCUACUUAGACACCGUCUUCUGCUUAAACAGAAUUAUCUCUGUUUUAUUACAUUUGUUGUCAUUUAGCAGACACUCUUAUCCAGAG
rnacentral:lncRNA from 8 species